rnacentral:lncRNA from 1 species
UUUUGGGAGAAAGGGAGAGAAGAGCAAGUUAGGCCAAUGAACCACUUUUGCUGUGCAUUUGUCUGCAAUUUCUAAGGUAAGGGUGAAGUUUACUUACAAUAGUAUAGAUUGUAAUUCUGAUUUUUGAUUUAACAUGUUUCUGGUAGAAAUUGAAAAAAAUUGGGGUUUAGGUUUGACUCUUUGAUUUUGUUGUUGAUGCUUUUGAGUUUCUGACUUGGAUUUAUAUAUUGAGUUCUUGUUCUUAAUUAUGUUUGCGUUGUAUAUUGACGAGUAGCAAUUUCCAAGAGUGCAGUAUGAAUUAGCGUAACCCAUCCUUCUGACCUGUAGAAUAAUGCAUGUGUUGGAUUUUAGAACAGUUUAAGAGUAUGUUUCUUAAUUUAUAAACAUAGGUUUGAAUUUUAAAGUACACAAUAAUUGAAUAGACUUGGCCGGUUAAACAAAUUGUAGCGAUUGUUUUCCAUUGAGUGACAUAAACCAUAGAUUAUAAACAGCUUGUAGUUUGUUCUAUUCUGUUUUAAUGUUUUCUUUUCUAGAAACAUUGAUUUCACGUAGGAAAGUAAUGAUGGACUAGCAUAGAUCCCUUAAUGUGACUCAAACAAUAGAUUAGAGAAAACUAUAAAUUGGGAAUUUUAACAAAAAUGAUACUUUCUUAAAAACGUAAAUGGGUUACUAGCAUUGGGUAAAGACGUUUUCUUUAGUUCUCUUCCUAUUCUAAUUUAUAAUUCUCACCGAUGCAGCCUCUGUGCAUCAAACUACUUGCUAAUUUAAAUUAAUUGAUGAUGUGUUAUUUAAUAUUGUAAAUAAUAAGUUAUUUAAUGAAGUAUAAUUGAUGAAUUAUUUGACUUAUUGUAAUUUGUGAAUUAUUUGAUGAUGUAAAAUUGAUGUGUUAAUUAACGAGGUGUACCUGAAGCUGUUUGUUCUUUAAUUGAAUGUUUGUGGAUGAACUAGCUGUAUGAGCAUAAUUAUGAUUAAUUGUGCGUUUCUCUGGAUUGCUGGAUUACUGAUGCUGAUCUGUUGAUUGACUGUGAUGUAUGCUAUAUUUCAUAAUCAUACAUGUUGUUUGAAGUUCGGAGUUGUGAGUCAUAUGAAGAAUGUAUGCAUGGUCUAGUUGUAUGUAGAUAUACACGAGUGGGUCCAUUGCAUAUGCAUAAACAGCGGAGAGGACUCAUGUCCUGGAGCACUAGUUGUUCACAGCGGUGAGGGCUUCGGUCCUGAUGAAUGCUUUAACCAUUCAAAAGCGGUGAGGGCUUCGGUCCUGUUUGGUACCACAUGCAUAUUUGCAUAUUUGCGGAGUCUAAGGUGUUGUCUUAGCAGUGUUGUCAUGUCCAUUGCAUGAGUCUUAAUUGUUGGUUGUAGAUGCCACUAGAUGUUGUUGAUGUCGUUGAUGAAUAUAUGUAAAUAUUUAUAUACAUAUGGUGAUGUGUGGAUAUUGAUGAUUGUUGUUGUUGCUUUGUGAAUUAUUAUGUUAUAUUUGCAAGAUGAUGUAUUUGAUGUUAGGGUGUUAGAUUCAAUUGAAGGUUUUGAUAUCUAUAUUUAUUGUUGUGAAUCUCACCCCUUCUGCUUGAAAAUGUUGUCUUUCCUUUGGGUAACUUGCAUGUGAUCCUGAGUAGUCGGUGGUGGCUCAAUGUCGUGUCUAGGGCUCUGAUACGUGGGAUGGGAAUUACUAUUUAUAUUAUUGUUGUUUUUCCUUCCUAUGUAUCAAUUUUUGGAACUUGAUGAUGUGGCCCUUUUGAUGGUUGAUAUUGUUGUUAGGCUUAUGCCAAGAUAUUAUGUUGGAGGUUUUUAACCGUUGUUGUGGUUAUUUGAAAUGCAAACUUUCCGCUGCAUAAUUUUUGAGGUUAUGAAUGAUGUCGAUUUAAAUAGUUUUAUUUUCUAUUUAAGGAAUUUUGAAUUUGCAAUGUAGCAUGCCCGUUUGUUGCUUAACUCUGAUGAAUAAUUGUUAUUUAAUUACUUUUGGGUAACGGGGUGUUACAGAAUUCAUUCUUGUGGUUGAAAUUUAAACAUGCCGCUUUCAGUUGCAGUUACCAUGAUUGGUGGAAACACCCUAUGUUGUGUAUGGGUCUCCAUUAGUUUACUGCUUACUGUUUUUUGUUGGCUUCUAUUUUGAUGAGG